CUAAAACUCGGCUCGGUUCUGCCUCUUCUUGUUUACAGCCCUACCCUUCGCUGCUUUUACCUUGGCGAUUCUCUCACGUUCGAUCUUGCAGCGUGUCACUCCGGAGCUCCGGCGAGAUGGCCGACCCACCCAUGCCGGCCUGCCCUAAUAAUUCCAGAACCCUAUUGGAUCUCGACGCCGACGCCCUCGCCCACUGCUUCGGCUUCCUCGACAUCCGGGACAUCUCCAACCUAUCCAUGACCUGCAAGCCCCUAGCUCGCGUCGCCUAUUCUGACUGCGUCUGGAAUCGUCUCUUCAGGGAGAAGUGGUCACAUUGCUCUGUAUCCUCUGGAGCUAUAGGAGUCAGAGAACAGUAUUUAGCAAGACAUACAGCCCUACAACAACUGAAAUUUUGUGAUCCGUGGGAAAUUCAUUUCAACAACUUCUACUUUGAACCAGCUAGCCAUUUAUUUCUGGAAAGAAACUCUAUCCUUUUAUCUCAGGGUUUUAGGAUACUAAGAAUAAGGGUUGAUUUUGCUGGAAUUCACCUUGAAGAAGCAUUUAUGGCUCAUGGUGCAAGGAUUACAUGCAUGAGAUUAUUUCCUAUAGUGGAGACAUCUUUGUUUCGAAAUGGUAUGCAUCCCAUGGAUAAUUUUAUAGUCACUUCAAGCUCAGACCACACUAUUCGCCUACGGUGGAAGGGUGGACCACUGCGAUGUUUUAAAGGACACAGUGGACCAGUUCUUUCACUGGCUGAUACAUUGCUCGGAGAUAGUGGUUCUAAGUUUCUAGCAAGUGGUGGAGAAGAUUGCACUGUUCGCCUUUGGUCACUUAAUACUAGUGGGAAGCAACAUCCUCUAGUUUCAACAUAUCGUGGCCAUGAGAAACCUUUGUCAUUUUUGACAGUUGCUGGGCACAAAUCUUCUCUUUUGGUUAGCAUUUCUAAAGAUUCAAGGGUCAGAGUUUGGGAUACAUCUGCAUCCUCCUCUAAUUUGUCAUCCUGUGUUGGAAUGACAUCAGUCACUGGACAACCUAUUGCUAUGCAAUGUCAUGACACACUUUGUUACAUUGCUGGUGGAGCAUUUGUUACAGCAAUUGAUUUACGAACAAUGCAAAGGGCUUUCACUGCUGCAGUCCAUGCUCCUAAAAUGUACUCAUUCCAAAUGCUACCAUCCAAAUGGCUAAUGUGUACUGGUGGAAAGGACAACUGAGUCUAUUAGCAAUUCAAUUGAUUGAACCACGGGUGCAGCAGUGACCCAAAACUUGUAUGGUUCUGUUUCUGGAUUAGUUUUUAAUACCGUAUCUCUAAGUGAGUAUGAAGGGGAGCCUUGGCGCAACGGUAAAGUUAUUGCUUUGUAAUCAAAAGGUCACGGGUUUGAAUCCUGAAAACAGCCUCUUGCAAAAAGCAGGUAAGGCUGUAUACAAUGAUCCUUCCCCGGGACCCUGCAUUGCGGGAGCUUCGUGCACCGGGGCCUUGUUAUGGGACAUCAGAAAAAGCCAAGAACAUCAAGAAGGACCAGAACCGGUGGCCGAGCUGGAAGUAAACCACAACACAGUAAAAUUUCUACACAUGGAUCCUUACAAAAUUGUAACCGGAGGGCCAUUUGAUUACAGAGUCCAAGUUUGGGAAACCGGUACUGGCUUCCUUGCCAACACACUGGACUGCCGGCCCGACCCCAGGGAAGUGGCCGGUUUGUCAGCCAUGGCUGUCGAUCAAUGCCGAAUUGUUACAUCGGGUUGUUCAGAUUCUCCAGAGUCUGUGUGUUACCGGGACUUCUCUGGCUGUUCUUUACCUGUGUCUCUUGAAGACUUGGGCGCUGUUGGAUCAAAAUUUUGGGAAUCCGCUCCACUCAAUGACUGACUUCACUGAGCCCUCCCUCCUUUUUCCUUGUCCAUGAACUAAAUAUCGUUAGAUGUAAUUAACUAAUCUUUUUUUUUUGUAGAUAUAAUCAGAAGAAAAGUUUUAGCGUUACAGUGAAUUUGAUCUAA